AGGGGAAUAUUGGACAAUGGGGGAAACCCUGAUCCAGCCAUGCCGCGUGAGUGAUGAAGGCCUUAGGGUUGUAAAGAUCUUUCACACACGAGGAUAAUGACGGUACCGGGAGAAGAAGCCCCGGCUAAAUUCGUGCCAGCAGCCGCGGUAAUAUGAAGGGGGCGAGCGUUGUUUUGAAUUAUUGGGGGUAAAGCGCACGCAGGCGGUGAUCUUAGUCAGAAGUGAAAGCCCCGGGCUCAACCCGGGAAUUGCUUUUGAUACUGGAUCGCUAGAAUCACGGAGAGGGUAGUGGAAUUCCGAGUGUAGAGGUGAAAUUAGUAGAUAUUCGGAAGAACACCAGGGCGAAGGAGGUACCUGGCCG
rnacentral:rRNA from 1 species